rnacentral:rRNA from 1 species
UACGGAGGGGGCGAGCGUUAUUCGGAAUUAUUGGGCGUAAAGGGCUCGUAGGCGGCCAACUAAGUCGGAUGUGAAAUCCCCAGGCUUAACCUGGGAACUGCAUCCGAUACUGGAUGGCUUGAAUCCGGGAGAGGGAUGCAGAAUUCCAGGUGUAGCGGUGAAAUGCGUAGAUAUCUGGAGGAAUACCGGUGGCGAAGGCGGCAUCCUGGACCGGCAUUGACGCUGAUGAGCGAAAGCUAGGGGAGCAAACGGG